rnacentral:lncRNA from 1 species
CUUAAUUACUGAGAAAUACUUCACAUGCAUUUUCUCAUUAAUUCUCACAACUUUAUGAAAAGGAGUCUUGCUCUGCUGCCUAGGCUGGAGUGCAGUGGCACAAUCUCAGCUCACUACAACCUCCACCUCCUGAGUUCCAGGGAUUCCCCUGACUGAGCUUCCUGAGCAGCUGGGAUUACAGGCACCUGCCACCAUGCCCGGCUAAUUUUUUUUUUCUUUUAGUAGAGACGGAGUUUCAUCAGGUUGGUCAGGCUGGUCUUGAACUCCUGACCUCAAGUCACUCAGGAGUCGAGGCCUCCUACCUCAGCCUCCCAAAGUGAGCCACCACACCCAGCCUGUUGUUGUAUGUUCUUAUUCAUGCAUUCUCCAAUGC